CGCCCGGCCCAGACCCGGCUCCGCGCCAGCCACCGGAGGGCUUUCCCCGGCGUCCCGAGCCGGGCUCGCGACCCGCCACGCAGACACCGAGGAAACCCCGUCAGCAGAGCAAAACGCAUCCGACCCCAGAAGCUCCUCUCCGUAUAGAUGUGGCUGUGUGUAAAGAUGUCCUGGACGGCUCUGAGAAUGCGUCUGCGUUUUAGUCACAGAAAAGUUGCAGAUAUGUAAAGAAUUCCUGGGCUUCCCUGGUGGCGCAGUGGUUAAGAAUCAGCCUGCUAAUGCAGGGGACACGGGUUCGAGCCCUGGUCCGGGAAGAUCCCACAUGCCACGGAGCAACUAAGCCUGUGCGCCACAACUACUGAGCCUGCACGUCUGGAGCCUGUGCUCCGCAACAAGAGAGGCCACGAUAGUGAGAGGCCCGCACAC